GCCAUAUGAUGAGAUACAUAGAUAUCAUUAACACUUGGUGUAAAGAUGACUCUUCAUCUAUCACCCACGACUGAUGGCU